rnacentral:rRNA from 1 species
GAGACAGAGGAUCCUGGUAGUCCUUGCCGUAAACGAUGCAUACUUGGUGUAGUUGGACUCAACCCCGACUGUGCCGUAGCUAACGCGUUAAGUAUGCCACCUGGGGAGUACGCUCGCAAGGGUGAAACUCAAAAGAAUUGACGGGGGCCCGCACAAGCAGUGGAGCAUGUGGUUUAAUUCGAUGCAACGCGAAGAACCUUACCCAGGCUUGACAUUUUUAGGACAGCAUCAGAAAUGAUGUCUCCCGCAAGGGCCUUUUAACAGGUGCUGCAUGGCUGUCGUCAGCUCGUGCUG